CACCAACAGCGCGUGAUGGGCACCAGCAAAUGGACGGCGGAUCACCAGCCUUCCGCAUCCAUUCGAUCCGAUAACAAAAACGACCGAUAUCAGCCAAUAUCACCGCAUCCCAUCUUCUUCUUCUUCUUCCCUUUCUCGCUCUCCCAGGUUCAAAGUCUCCUUGUUCUUGUCGUUCUCCCCGUCCUCAACCUCUCAACCGUCGGAUCGGAGGGGCGAGAGGGAGAUCGGACCGGAUCCAUGUCGGAGACUCCGCCGCCCUUCCAGGAGGCGCCCCGCUGCGACGUAUGCCACUGCAGCUUCACAACCUUCCGCCGACGGCAUCACUGCCGAUGUUGUGGCAGGACCUUGUGCCAUGAACAUUCAUCGAAUCAAAUGGCUUUGCCACAAUUUGGCUUAUAUACAAAUGUCAGAGUAUGCUAUGACUGUUUCAACAAGACUUCUUGGUCUGGGAAAGAUGAUAAACAGACAUCUCAAAGUGCCACUGCUGCUGCAACAGAUGCCUUUUCAAGAUUACAGGUGAAUGAAGAUACUGUUUCAAUAGCCAAAUCAACUUCAGGAGAUCCAACUAUAGGUGUUCCUGAGUGCAAAUGUGGAAUGCCUCUGUGCAUAUGUGAAGUUCCAACCCCAGAUCCAGCUCCCUUGCCGAUGAAGAAUAGCACUGUGUCAACCUUGCGGUCUAACCCAAGACCAAAGAAGGCUCUCAAUACACAGCAGUCAGUGGAAUCUGUUCCAAAGAAGCUUCCUUCUUCAUCAUCCAGCAACCAAAGUUCAUUUUUCAAUCUCGGUCAAGCAAGCAAUGGUAGCUUAGAUAAAGGUCAUGCAGAUUAUGAUGUCAGUGGAGAGGGUCUAAGAGAAGCCAUUAAGAAUAGCGAUGCUACAGCUGUCAAAAACCUUCUCAGGAGUGGAUGCAAAUUACUGCGACAAGCAAGGAUUAUCUUUGUUACAUCUGACUGUGUGGCAAACAACAUAGUUUUUUUCUGUUGCUCGGAAGAGUGCAUGUAGUUGAUUAUUUUUCGCAAGGAGAGAGGAAGCCCUAUCAGGCAUUUUCCACAAUACUCGUGCAAGCUGCACUUUUUAAUCAGACUGAAAUUGCUUUCAUUCUCAUGGAUCAUGGAGCAAGCAUGGAAUGCAAGAAUGCUCAAGGCGAAACACCUUUGGAUUGUGCUCCUACCAUGCUGCAGUACAAAAUGCGUGAGAAGAUGCAAGCACUUGCAAGCAACAAACAGGCAGGUGGUGAUAUUGUAAAUUGAGUGUCAAGUUGAUUUUUAUCUGUAUAUUCUUGAACUCGGUUCCCUAGAGCUCAUCAGUUCCACUCAACAAUGAACCACUUAUGCUAACUGUUAUUGCUGCUGUAGAGAACCAACUUUUUUCAUUGUGGGUUGGCCAAGUACUAAAUAAAUUGUUGAAAGCUUUUAUUUUGCAGAGGGUUGCCAUUCUUCUA